ensembl:snRNA U6 U6 spliceosomal RNA
GUGCUUGCUUCCGCAGCACAGACACUAAAGUUGGAAUGAUACAGAGAAGAUUAGCAUAGCCCCUGCUCAAGGAUGAACCGCAAAUUCAUGAAGCAUUCCAUAUAUUU